rnacentral:rRNA from 1 species
GACGGAGGGUGCAAGCGUUGCUCGGAAUCACUGGGCGUAAAGGGUGCGUAGGCGGCUUGGUCAGUCUGAUGUGAAAGCCCAGGGCCCAGCCUUGGAAGUGCAUUAGAAACUGCCAAGCUAGAGUGCCGGAGGGGAGAGUGGAAUUCCUGGUGUAGCGGUGAAAUGCGUAGAUAUCAGGAGGAAUACCGGUGGCGAAAGCGACUCUCUGGACGGUAACUGACGCUGAGGCACGAAAGCGUGGGGAGCAAACAGG